rnacentral:rRNA from 1 species
AUUGAACGCUAGCGGCAUGCCUAACACAUGCAAGUCGAACGGAGCGGCGAACGGGUGAGUAAUGCCUCGGAAUGUGCCCGGUAGUGGGGGAUAACUACCCGAAAGCGUCGCUAAUACCGCAUACUAUCGGAGCGGCCUAUGUCGGAUUAGCUAGUUGGUGGGGUAACGGCCUACCAGGGCGACGAUCCGUAACUGGUUUGAGAGGACGAUCAGCCACACUGGAACUGAGACACGGCCCAGACUCCUACGGGAGGCAGCAGUGGGGAAUUUUGGACAAUGGGCGAAACCCUGAUCCAGCCAUCCCGCGUGUGUGAUGAAGGCCUUCGGGUUGUAAAGCACUUUUAGCAGGGAAGCGGUACCUGCAGAAUAAGCACCGGCUAACUACGUGCCAGCAGCCGCGGUAAUAC